rfam:Oryza sativa (indica cultivar-group) chromosome 2, whole genome shotgun sequence.
AUUAAGUGUAGUUUUACACUAUUCAUGUUCAACAUUUAACUGUUCAUCUUAUUUGAAAUAUUUUUAUGAUUAAUAUUUUUAUUGUUAUUAGAUAAUAAAACAUGAAUAGUACUUUAUGAUGUGUAACUAUUUUUUAAAAAUUUUUUAUAAACUUUUCAAAUAAAACGGACGGUUAAACGUUGGAUACGGAUUUCCACGGCUGCAUUUAUU